GUCAUUAACUAUAUUUAAAAUGCAAAAAUUGACCAAACCCUCAUUUUAAAAACGCUAACCUGUAUCACCGUGUUCGAGCAAAAAGUUGAAACACUACAUGAUCUCCUCCUGGGUUCUCCUUCGACGGCGAUCUUCUCUGGUGAUAUCUCUUCCAGCGAAGAUCUCCUCCAACAGCGAUCUCCUCCGGCGAUGUCUGCUCCAGCGACGAUCUCCUCCUGCGACGUCUGCUCCAGCGACGAUCUCCCUCCUCCGACGCCUCCUCCAGCGACGAUCUCCUCCGGCUUCCUCCUUGUCGUCCUGUGUCCUCUCUGCCAAAUCUUCAGUGUCUCCCUUUUGUUCUGGAUCAGCAGGUCAGCUCGCUACUUUUCACAUUCUAGGGUUCAAAAGUAUGAAUUAUUUCUCUCCUUUGCUAGAUUUUUUACCAAUUCGAUUGAAACAUGAGAGUGUGUGAAUACGUGGAUAUAAAUUCCUUGUGAUUUUCGUUGUUAUUCAUUUGGUACUGGUUUUUAAGCUUUUUUGAAUUUGUUAUUAUUGGAGAAAAGUAAAACUGUGUAUUUUGAUUUUCUUAUUUUUUUCAAUGUGCUGUGAGGUUUUGGUAGUGUGUUUGUGUUUUAGGUUGUAAAUACUAAGUGGAGUAUGUGAGAAUGGCGCAGGGAAGUGGAAAAGCUUUGGUGUCACUUAUAAACCAGGUAUUAGAUCUGGCAAAGAUUGAAGCUGAAGAAAUGGACUGGGACAAUAAUGGACAAGUCACUAUCAGGGAGUUCCUCUUCGGUUUCAUCAAAUGAGUUGGAAUUGAUGCAGAUGAAUAGAUGCAUGAUGCAUUGUCUUAAUGGAUCGUCGCGAAUGCAUCCUUGUGAGGAGUUGUUUGAGUUCCAUUCUUCUGGUGACUUUGGACAGAACCCUUUAAAGCAUUGGCAAACAUGCUUUGAUUCUGCUACACUGCAAUAAGCAUAGGCUCCACAAAGGUCAUAUUUAUCACACACAUCACCUGGCGUUGAUCCAGAAACUUUCCAAUUCUGAAGAUUGUCAUCCCAUAAAUAACUUGUAAAAGAUUGACUUGUUUGGCUUAUUACACAUCUUCCAAUGAUAGAAUCAACCUUGGUGUUAUAACUAUAGGAUAUCUCAUCCUUGUUUGUGACAAAACUGUCUUAAAAAACAUAUGUAAAGGACAGAUCUGGGAAUCCACUGAAGUAAAGACCAUUCCAAGGUCCAGAGCGAUAUACUUUUUGUGUGCCAUUCAUCAUGUAAUAGACUGGAUAAUCCCUUACAAGUCAACUAAACCAAGAGAAAAGUCUCCAGGUGAUGGAUCAUUUGGACUCUUCCAACAAGUUAUGCGCCAGUCCAAACCUUUUCGGAGGUCCCUUCCCAACUUCAUGGUUGGCAAGAAUGUAUCUGUAGGAUAAUCAAAGCUUUGCCACAAAUAGGCCUUUGGAUUUGAUUCCCCUUCAUUUCUUAACACAAGAUUGCCACUGUCCAAGAGCUUCAAUACCGGAUUUUUUUAAUUUAGAAGGAUUCUUGGUCUCGGAGCUCGAUUUGGGAUCUAUGAAAUCAUCACUGCCUUUUAUAAGGUUGCUGCUGCGGCUUCUCAUGCCUUUGAUACUACAAGAACUAGAUCACAGUGCACUGUGCUACCAAAGGUGAUGAAGAUAAAUUGAUUUGGAACUAUUUAGAAGAUGGAAGCUACUUAAAUAAGAACCAGUUGAAGAUAGACAUCAUCUUUUCAUUCAUCUGUUUUCUUAUAAGCAGAGGUUGCUGGAGUAGCUGUAAGAGCUUUAACGCCAGAGCAACAUGGUCCUGGUGGUUUACCACUUUCAAUCACCAAGUAACUCACACAAGGCUUUAGGUUCUUAAUCACAUCACUGCAUGAUGAAAUUGUAGCCUCAGAACUAGUUACUGAGGUCACUAAAAUCAUAAGAACACAUGUAUAGCAGCAACUGAACCGCGGGGAUAAUGAGAUAGUUUUUUAUUUCUGCUAUUAUUUUCUUAGUUGUUAUUUCUUCAAGAAUUAUAUAUGAUUUUACGGUUCAUAUAAGUUUAAUUAGUUUGCGAUGAUGAUUUGAUGAUUAGCUUAAAAGUUAUAUAGAUUCAUAAUAAAAUAGAAUUGUUUAAUUACAGCAUAAGUUCUACUACUACUGCUUUCUGCACUGUCAAAAUCCCAAAAAGUUGAUUUCAUAUAUUGUGACACCAAGUCAAAGCUGUGCUGUUCGUAUAUAUAAUCUUAUAUACAUAUCAUGCUUCUAUGCUAUGUAUUAAUGUUCGUAUAUAUAAUUUUAUAUAUAUAUGUGACGCAAUAAAUAAAUUAAAAUUAGCUAUGUAUUAAUUUUCUUUGCUUCUAUGUUAUAUUUUGGCAUCUGACUAAGACUGUUAGUAUGUCUAUGUCAUCAUGCAUUCAUGCUCAUUAUAUCCAAAUAAUAAUCAUCCAUCAAUAUACAUAGUAUUGUUUAUAUAUGUUAUUGGCCAGCAUCCGUUUGGAAUAGAGUCAUUUAUUUUAUGCGAAAUGCCAUUAUUAGUAUCUAAAAUAACCUUAUGUUGUUCAGUGUUCAGUGAUGAAAAAUUUUGGGCUCCCAUUCUUUUUCUUGUACACAGAUUUUCUGACCCAAUUUCUCAAAGCAAUUUUUUUUUAACUAGUAUCUUAAAUCACAGGCUAC